GAGAGCGCUUUUUUGUUGUUGUUGUUGUGCUAAGCUAAAAGGCAGAAUGCUACAGGCAUGGCCCUAAAGAAUGUAGCCUGAUGGGCAGUGUAGUCCGUGCUGCAGGGAGAAUGGACUGCCAUACUCGUUAUGUGUCUGUGAGCGAGGGAGGGAGAGAAAGGAAAAGUCCGAGCUGUCACGGAGCAAAAACGGGAGCUGGAAGCAUGUAAAUAUAAUAAUAACCACUGCAGCCAAGAAGAGUGCCUGACGAGCCCAGCUGUAAACUUACAGAGAAUGGUCUGAUGAGAAACCAUCCAGAGAGCAGAAGUUCCCUUGAUGCCAGAGGUCAGAGGAUAAUAGACUGACUGCUUUGAGCUGAUAGGAAGGCAACAAUAACUCAGAUAACCACUCAUUACAACGAAGGCAAGCCAAACAAGCAAACUCCAAUAGAAAGGCAGAAAAAGCAGCACUGUAAACAAGCUAUUGAUGGCUGAGAAACAGCAGCAAGGAGAAACCUGACAAGAAAUGUGUUUCCUGCUCCCACAGAGGAAAAUUCUGACCAUAUUUUAGCUGAUGCGUCAUCAGCCAUCUGAGGACUACAGUCUCUUUUAUCUAACCCAGAUUGUUGCAAUAGGGUUGGAUUC
ensembl:lncRNA